rnacentral:rRNA from 1 species
UACGGGGGGGGGCAAGCGUUGUUCGGAAUUACUGGGCGUAAAGGGCUCGUAGGCGGCCAACUAAGUCCGACGUGAAAUCCCCAGGCUUAACCUGGGAACUGCGUCGGAUACUGGAUGGCUUGAAUCCGGGAGAGGGAUGCGGAAUUCCAGGUGUAGCGGUGAAAUGCGUAGAUAUCUGGAGGAACACCGGUGGCGAAGGCGGCAUCCUGGACCGGC